rnacentral:rRNA from 1 species
UACGGGAGUGGCAAGCGUUAUCCGGAAUUAUUGGGCGUAAAGCGUCCGCAGGCGGCCUUUUAAGUCUGUUGUCGAAGCGUGGAGCUUAACUCCAUUUCGGCAAUGGAAACUGGGAGGCUUGAGUGUGGUAGGGGCAGAGGGAAUUCCCGGUGUAGCGGUGAAAUGCGUAGAUAUCGGGAAGAACACCAGUGGCGAAGGCGCUCUGCUGGGCCAUAACUGACGCUCAUGGACGAAAGCCAGGGGAGCGAAAGGG